rnacentral:rRNA from 1 species
UACGGAGGGGGUUAGCGUUAUUCGGAAUUACUGGGCGUAAAGCGCGUGUAGGCGGGGAAGCAAGUCUGAUGUGAAAGCCCUGGGCUUAACCUGGGAAGUGCAUUGGAAACUGUUUUUCUUGAGUACUGGAGAGGAAGGGAGAAUUCCCGGUGUAGAGGUGAAAUUCGUAGAGAUCGGGAGGAACACCAGUGGCGAAGGCGCCCUUCUGGACGGUUACUGACGCUGAGACGCGAAAGCGUGGGGAGCAAACAGG